rnacentral:rRNA from 1 species
UUCCGGUUGAUCCUGCCGGACCUGACUGCUAUCGGAUUGAUACUAAGCCAUGCGAGUCUUUGCAGUAAUGCAAGGCAUACGGCUCAGUAACACGUAGUCAACUUACCCUAUGGACGAGGAUAAUCUCGGGAAACUGAGCAUAAUACUCGAUAGAUCAUAAUGCCUGGAAUGGUUUAUGGUUAAAAUGAUUCGUCGCCAUAGGAUGGGACUGCGGCCUAUCAGCUUGUUGGUGAGGUAAUGGCCCACCAAGGCGAUUACAGGUACGGGCUCUGAGAGGAGAAGCCCGGAGAUGGGUACUGAGACAAGGACCCAGGCCCUAUGGGGCGCAGCAGGCGAGAAAACUUUGCAAUGUGCGAAAGCACGACAAGGUUAAUCCGAGUGAUUUCUGCUAAAGAAAUCUUUUGCAAGUCAUAAAACCACUAGUGAAUAAGGGGUGGGCAAGUUCUGGUGUCAGCCGCCGCGGUAAAACCAGCACCUCAAGUGGUCAGGAGGAUUAUUGGGCCUAAAGCAUCCGUAGCCGGCUCUGUAAGUUUUCGGUUAAAUUCAUGUGCUCAACGCAUGAGCCGCCGAAAAUACUGCAUAGCUAGGGAGUGGGAGAGGUAGACGGUACUCAGUAGGAAGGGGUAAAAUCCUUUGAUCUAUUGAUGACCACCUGUGGCGAAGGCGGUCUACCAGAACACGUUCGACGGUGAGGGAUGAAAGCUGGGGGAGCAAACCGGAUUAGAUACCCGGGUAGUCCCAGCUGUAAACGAUGCAGACUCGAUGAUGCAUUGGCAUAUAGCCAGUGCAGUGUCGCAGGGAAGCCGUUAAGUCUGCCGCCUGGGAAGUACGUACGCAAGUAUGAAACUUAAAGGAAUUGGCGGGGGAGCACCACAAGGGGUGAAGCCUGCGGUUCAAUUGGAGUCAACGCCGGG